AAUAUUGGACAAUGGGCGAAAGCCUGAUCCAGCCAUGCCGCGUGUGUGAAGAAGGUCNNNGGAUUNUAAACCUCUGUCUUUGGNGAANAUAAUGACGGUACCCAAGGAGGAAGCCACGGCUAACUACGUGCCAGCAGCCGCGGUAAUACGUAGGUGGCAAGCGUUGUCCGGAAUUACUGGGUGUAAAGGGAGCGUAGGCGGGUACGCAAGUUGAAUGUUUAACCUAUCGGCUCAACCGAUAGUCGCGUUCAAAACUGCGGAUCUUGAGUGAAGUAGAGGCAGGCGGAAUUCCUAGUGUAGCGGUGAAAUGCGUAGAUAUUAGGAGGAACACCAGUGGCGAAGGCGGCCUGCUGGGCUUUUACUGACGCUGAGGCUCGAAAGCAUGGGGAGCAAACA
rnacentral:rRNA from 1 species